UUCAGAUGGCUAAUUUAGUUUUGCUGGUGCUGCUUGUUACACUAAUUUGGUCGGACGCUGUCUACGGUCAAUGUGCGGCGUAUUUUCCCGUUACUUCGACUUUUGCACCUGCAAGUGUCAAUACGAACCAAGCUUGCUAUGAAUACUGUCUGGCUACACCCAAUUGCUUAUAUUAUACUUCCAGCCCUAUCCUAUGUGCUAUAGCAAUAGCUGCUGUGGUUGAUCCUGCCAUCAGUAAUGUUGGCUAUGUAUCCUGCGGCUCCAG